rnacentral:rRNA from 1 species
AUACGUAGGGAGCGAGCGUUGUCCGGAAUUACUGGGUGUAAAGGGAGCGUAGGCGGGAGUGCAAGUCAGAUGUGAAAUACAUGGGCUCAACCCAUGGGCUGCAUUUGAAACUGCAUUUCUUGAGUGAAGUAGAGGUAGGCGGAAUUCCUGGUGUAGCGGUGAAAUGCGUAGAUAUCAGGAGGAACACCGGUGGCGAAGGCGGCUUACUGGGCUUUUACUGACGCUGAGGCUCGAAAGCGUGGGGAGCAAACAGGAUUAGAUACCCUGGUAGUCCACGCUGUAAACGAUGAUUACUAGGUGUGGGGGGACUGACCCCUUCCGUGCCGCAGUUAACACAAUAAGUAUUCCGCCUGGGGAGUACGGCCGCAAGGUUGAAACUCAAAUGAAUUGACGGGG